GCUUUUUGCUAGUGGAGCCUUCCUGUACUCAGUGGGGGAUGCAGAACAGCUGAACAAGGCCACAAUUUGCCGCACAAUAAGGAGUGUGUCUGGCUAUCAAAGCAUUAGCAGAUGUCUUCAUCUCCUUCCCUGGCCACAGAAGACUCUGUGACAUCAAAGAGGAGUUCUAUAGGAUUGCAGAUGGUCUGCAAUGCUGACUGUGUGAUCAGCAAUGUUGUGGCAAAAUGGCCUGGCUCAGUCCAUGACUCCAGAAUCUUUCGGGCCUCUGAAAUCUAUCAGUGCCUAUCACAAGGUGAAUUCUCUGGUGUGUUGCUGGGAGACAGGGGUAUGGCUGCCAGCCUUUUCUCCUGACACCUUUCACAGACCCCCAGGAAGCACAGCAGGCCUACAACCAUGCCCAUGCCAGGACCAGGGCCAGAGUUGAAAUGACCUUUGGCCUCCUGAAGGCACGCUUUCACUGCCUUCACAAAUUACCAAGGGUCAGCCCUGUUAGGGCAUGUGAUAUUACUGUGGCUUGUGCUGUCCUCCACAAUGUGGCCUGCCUGAGGAAGGAGAGGGCCCCAGAGUGCCACCAGCCAUGGACUGGGACAAUCCGGCAAUCUUCCUGAUGACGACAGUGGUCGGCUGCUGAGGGACCAAUAUGUGUUGAAUUAUUUUAGUUAGUAUGUGUGCUUUCAAUUUUGGUUAAAUAUGUCCUGCGGUGGCAGAGGAAUUUGGGUUUUUUGGGUUAGUUUUUUGACGAAUUUGGCCUCUUAUGAUGUUUGUGCGGUAUACUGUGUGUAAUACAAGGCUGCAGGGAGGCUACUGCAUCCAUUCAUUUGUCUGUUCAGUUGAUGUGUAUGGAUUUGUCCUGCAUUUAUUUUAGUGUGCAGACAUGCAGGGUGUGUUAUAUACAGACCUUUGAAUGUGUAUGUAUCAUUUUGUAUAAUAUGCUUGGAUUCUGUGCUUUCCAUCUUGUAGAGUCACUGUGACUUCAGUUUUGAAAGGAGCUGAUGGUUUACCUGCUUUGUUUUGUCCUUAUUCAAUAAAGGAACAUAAUGUUACACAUUGUGUUUUUAUAUUCA